GGCUCUGUAGUUCAACGGAUAGAACGAGUGUUUCCUAAACAUUAAAUAGGGGUUCGAUUCCCCUCGGAGCUA
rnacentral:tRNA from 1 species